GACGAACGCUGGCGGCGUGCUUAACACAUGCAAGUCGAACGUGAUUUUUGUGGAAAUUCUUUCGGGAAUGGAAAUGAAAUGAAAGUGGCGAACGGGUGAGUAACACGUGAGCAACCUACCUUACACAGGGGGAUAGCCGUUGGAAACGACGAUUAAUACCGCAUGGGACCACAGAAUCGCAUGAUAUAGGGGUCAAAGAUUUAUCGGUGUAAGAAGGGCUCGCGUCUGAUUAGCUAGUUGGAAGGGUAAAGGCCUACCAAGGCGACGAUCAGUAGCCGGUCUGAGAGGAUGAACGGCCACAUUGGAACUGAGACACGGUCCAAACUCCUACGGGAGGCAGCAGUGGGGAAUAUUGCACAAUGGGGGGAACCCUGAUGCAGCGACGCCGCGUGAGCGAAGAAGGUUUUCGAAUCGUAAAGCUCUGUCCUAUGAGAAGAUAAUGACGGUAUCAUAGGAGGAAGCCCCGGCUAAAUACGUG
rnacentral:rRNA from 1 species